AUUGAACGCUAGCGGGAUGCCUUACACAUGCAAGUCGAACGGCAGCACGGACUUCGGUCUGGUGGCGAGUGGCGAACGGGUGAGUAGCGUAUCGGAACGUGCCCAGUAGCGGGGGAUCACUACGCGAAAGCGUAGCUAAUACCGCAUACGCCCUAAGGGGGAAAGCGGGGGAUCGCAAGACCUCGCACUAUUGGAGCGGCCGAUAUCGGAUUAGCUAGUUGGUGGGGUAAAGGCCUACCAAGGCGACGAUCCGUAGCUGGUUUGAGAGGACGGCCAGCCACACUGGGACUGAGACACGGCCCAGACUCCUACGGGAGGCAGCAGUGGGGAAUUUUGGACAAUGGGGGCAACCCUGAUCCAGCCAUUUCGCGUGUGCGAUGGAGGCCUUCGGGUUGUAAAGCACUUUUGGCAGGGAAGAAAGGGCUUAGGUUAAUAGCCUAGGUUGAUGACGGUACCUGCAGAAUAAGCACCGGCUAACUACGUGCCAGCAGCCGCCGUAA
rnacentral:rRNA from 1 species